AUUGAACGCUGGCGGCAGGCUUAACACAUGCAAGUCGAGCGGAGAUGAGGUGCUUGCACCUCAUCUUAGCGGCGGACGGGUGAGUAAUGCUUAGGAAUCUGCCUAUUAGUGGGGGACAACAUUCCGAAAGGAAUGCUAAUACCGCAUACGUCCUACGGGAGAAAGCAGGGGAUCUUCGGACCUUGCGCUAAUAGAUGAGCAUAAGUCGGAUUAGCUAGUUGGUGGGGUAAAGGCCUACCAAGGCGACGAUCUGUAGCGGGUCUGAGAGGAUGAUCCGCCACACUGGGACUGAGACACGGCCCAGACUCCUACGGGAGGCAGCAGUGGGGAAUAUUGGACAAUGGGGGGAACCCUGAUCCAGCCAUGCCGCGUGUGUGAAGAAGGCCUUAUGGUUGUAAAGCACUUUAAGCGAGGAGGAGGCUACUGAGACUAAUACUCUUGGAUAGUGGACGUUACUCGCAGAAUAAGCACCGGCUAACUCUGUGCCAGCAGCCGCCGUAAAAC
rnacentral:rRNA from 1 species